GGGGGUGUAAGUUUCGAUGUGAGCAAAGAUUGACAUUGGCAAGUCUUCUUUGACCAAAAGAAGUAAAACAGGGUUAACAAUUUAUCUGCCGAUACUAUCGUCAGUAAAGUGAGAAGCACACUCCUCGACACCAGAGAUGCUGUCGCAGGUGCUUUCACUGCAAAUCAAGCUGCUGUUUUGGUAGCCUAAUUCGCUGUUCUAGAGUGGAUUCUCUCAAGUGGUUACUCUAGGGCAUCAACUUAGCUUGGGUGUAAUUGUUGGUACGACUAGGACCAACAACCAAAUUUUUCUAGUCAGGGCUGAGACGGAGUUUGCUUAUUCGCUUACCUCAGCCAACUUAAAAAUAAACUAAACUUGUAGAUUUUGUCUUUCUCAUGACUUGCAGACAGGGGAUCAAUCCCCUCACCUCCACAG
rnacentral:tmRNA from 1 species